GCUUUUGCAUAUCGCGCAAUUUGUCCCUAUAUUAGGUCUGCUGCUUGCAGCUAUGGCGAUAAAUGGCCUGCGUAAUAAACCUAUCGGACCCGGGGGCGGUACCCGGCGCCUCCACCAAAACCCAGCCCGAUGAUAUCCAAGUUGUCAUGUGGAUACCGAUUGAUUGCCGGAAACUGGGCUUUGGCGGGGGCGAAAUAGGAUCGACGAGGGCGUAAAGGUUGUGCUUUUGCUCGGUAUGAUACCCGCCGUUAUCGGGUCAACUCAGUAGUUGCAAAUGACAACAAUGCUGAAGGUUUUGCGGUAGCUGCGUAAUGCGGUUCCUGUAAUACCGAACCUAAGUCCCUCUGGUUAGCACUUUAGGGCGGGGUCCGGCAGCACCUGGCAACAGAAGCUGCCACU
rnacentral:tmRNA from 1 species